UGCCCAGGUGUGCCCAGGUGCGCCCAGGUGUGCCCAGGUGUGCCCAGGUGUAUCCCAGGUGUAUCCCAGGUGUGCCCAGGUGUGCCCAGGUGUAUCUCAGGUGUGCCCAGGUGUAUCCCAGGUGUAUCCCAGGUGUCCCCAGGUGUGCCCAGGUGUGCCCAGGUGUAUCCCAGGUGUAUCUCAGCUGUAUCCCAGGUGUGCCCAGGUGUGCCCAGGUGUGCUCAGGGGGGCGGCAGGAGGGGCAUCAGCAGCCGCAGCGCCCCCAGCCCCAGCGCGGCCGCCCCCAGGUGUGCCCAGGUGUGCCCAGGUGUAUCUCAGGUGUGCCCAGGUGUGCCCAGGUGUGCCCAGCUGUAUCCCAGGUGUGCCCAGGUGCCCCCAGGUGUGCCCAGGUGUGCCCAGGUGCCUCAGGGGGGCGGCAGGAGGGGCACCAGCAGCCGCAGCGCCCCCAGCCCCAGCGCGGCCGCCCCCAGGUGUGCCCAGGUGUAUCCCAGGUGUCCCCAGGUGUAUCCCAGGAGUGCCCAGGUGUGCCCAGGUGCCCCCAGGUGUAUCUCAGCUGUAUCCCAGGUGUGCCCAGGUGUAUCCCAGGUGUAUCCCAGGUGUGCCCAGGUGUAUCCCAGGUGUCCCCAGGUGUGCCCAGGUGUAUCUCAGCUGUAUCCCAGGCGUGCCCAGGUGUAUCCCAGGUGUGCCCAGGUGUGCCCAGGUGUAUCCCAGGUGUGCCCAGGUGUAUCCCAGGUGUGCCCAGGUGUAUCCCAGGUGUGCCCAGGUGUAUCUCAGGUGUAUCUCAGGUGUGCCCAGGUGUGCCCAGGUGCGCUCAGGGGGGCGGCAGGAGGGGCACCAGCAGCCGCAGCGCCCCCAGCCCCAGCGCGGCCGCCCCCAGCGCC